rnacentral:lncRNA from 1 species
CUGUAAAGUGGGAUGAUCUUCCGCCACUCAGGCCAGGUGGUGGUUAGGAUUAAACCCUGAAGUCGACCUGAGCAGCUUAGCCUGGCGCCUGACCCAGAGCGGGCGCUCCACGCCCGCUGAUAUUAUUACUAAUUGUUUUCGGGAGAGGCAGAUUUGGGGCGUAGAGGGUGGGUGGGUUGAGGAGGGCAUUUUGGCCUGGGGGCGGAUGGGGCCCGCGGGGUGGGGCGCCCUGGGGGAGUGGGAGGCGGGGCUUCUGUGCCCGGUGUCCCCACCCCGCCCGGACCCCGGCUCGGGCCGUGCCUGGGUCUCUCCCGGGUCACCGGCGGGGAAUCCGUCCCCGCGCGCUUCCUCCUUCCUCCUCCUCCCGGCUGCCUGCCGGGCCCCUCCUCCCAGCUCGCGCGCUCCCUCCCUCCUCUUCCCUCCCCUCCCCGGGCCGCCGCCGCCUCCUCCUCCUCCUCCUCCCUUUCUCUCUCGAUCUGUCUCUCCCGGCCCGGAAUCCAUUCCGGCCUGGGAGCCGGAGCGGCCAGGCCGCCGUCUGCCCUACCCGCUGGCCGUCCCGCGGUCCGCCCUCCUGUGCGUCCGUCUGCCGGUGCGCCCGCCCGCCCGCCGGCCCAGUUCCUCACUGGGCAGCGUGAAGACCAGGAGACUUCUCCUCUACCCCCAACUGCGGUCACCCACUAGCUGCGUGGCUUUGGUGAGUCAGUUUAACUGCUCUGUGCCUCAGUUUCCCCAUCUGAAAAAUGAGCCUAGUGGUAGAACCCACCCCAUGGGCUUGUUCCAA